rnacentral:ncRNA from 1 species
CGAAACACGCUGAACAGACGAAGUACCGCCGAGGUUUUUCACAGAGAGGUUCUCACUUGCUGGAAGAGAGCUAAAAACUUGCGGGAAAUGCAUCUGGGAGUGGAUCCGUCAAAAGCGGAUACGGGUAGUGACCGUUACCCACUAAAAGGCAAGGAGCAAUCCUUGUAAAGAAAAGUGGAACCACGCGAAAAAGCGUCUUUUAA